rnacentral:rRNA from 1 species
UCCUAUAAAUUUAAGAGGAAUAAAAAAUAUAAAUUAUAGACAUACAUGCUAGUUAAAUAGCAAACAAGUGAAAAAUAAAAUUACCAUAUCAAUGAACAAUAAUUUAAAAAAGUAAACAAUUUAUUGCAUAAAACCAUCUAAACAGAUCACAUUUAAAAAAAAGCAACAUAUAACAUUGUGCAAUAUGUAAAAACACGACACAGCAUCAAUUUUACAAUAAGAACAAGCAAAGAAUGUGCCAGCAGCCGCGGUUAAACAUUCUGUACUAAUUUUCAACACACACACGUAAAAAAGAACAUAUUUAAAUAAAAGAAAAUUAAAUAAAUAAAAAAAUAGUAAAAUAUAAAAAUAACAAUUUAACCCAACUCAUUUUCUAAAAAAAAUUCUAUUACACCAAAGCAUAAAUCACCAAAAGGAUUAGAUACCCUUGUAGCCUAUGCCCUAAAUAAACAAUAAUAAGUAUGCUCGCAAGACAGAAACUUAAUAAAUUUGAGAGAGUGAGAAAAUUCAGGGAAGCGUAUACUUUAAUUCGAAAUUACACGAAAACCUUACCUAAAUUAAUAAGUAGGAUAUCUCCGUAUAUUGCUUUUAUAAAAAAAACGAGAGUACACAUCACGACAUAUACCGGUCACCACCCUCUUCAUAUUUAGGGCCAGUAAGCGCCACAAACUAUUAAUUAACCACAAUAGCCCCUACAAAUGAAAAAAUAAAAGGAGAACUUGAAAGUAAUUAUUUUCAACUAAAAAAUAAUGAAAAAAAUAUAAAACUGCUACAAACCGCCCGUCAAUUCUUGAGAUAAACAAUACCAAAAAAUACCUUAAAAAAAACCAUUUAAAAACCACUACAACUAAUAAAUAAAAUUAAGAAUAAGUCGUAACAAGGUAGCCGUAUCCGAAGAUGCGGCUAAAAAUAA